UACGUAGGGGGCGAGCGUUGUCCGGAUUUAUUGGGCGUAAAACGCUUGUAGGCGGCCACGCCACGUCGGAUGUGAAAUCUCCCGGCUUAACUGGGAGGGGUCAUCCGAUACUGGCGGGCUCGAGGCAGGUAGGGGGAAGCGGAAUUCCCGGUGUAGUGGUGGAAUGCGUAGAUAUCGGGAGGAACACCGGUGGCGAAGGCGGUUCUCUGGGCCUGUACUGACGCUGAGGAGCGAAAGCGUGGGGAGCGAACAGG
rnacentral:rRNA from 1 species